CCUGGGAGAGGAGCCUCCCUUCUGCUCCCGGGGCGUCGCGGGCGGGCCCUCCCUUCUGCUCCCCGGGGCGCCGGGGCGUCGCGGGCGGGCCCUCCCUUCUGCUCCCGGGGCGUCGCGGGCGGGGCCUCCCUUCUGCACCCCGGGACGUCGCGGGCGGGCCCUCCCUUCUGCUCCCCGGGACGUCGCGGGCGGGCCCUCCCUUCUGCUCCCCGGGGCACCCUCUGCCCCGACCCUUUCCCUCAGCCACUUCCGGGAUCUCUGCCCCCUCUGGCUACAUGCAGGACGCGCAGAUACAGUGAAGCAUCCGAGGUUUAUUUAUUGCCACCAUGUAAUCCAGCCUGAUCUCCAUCUUGGUUCCUGGUCCAGUUCUGUAUAGUCAACCCAUCCAACUAUAUAUUACCGGGGUAUGAGCAAUGUGUGUUUUUCAUGUACUUUUGUUUUUCUGCUAGAAUUGACUAAGUUUAUCACUUUUGAGUAGCUAUGGCCUUAUUGAUAAAUACUGAUAAGAUCCUAUAGUAUUCUGUAUUUAAUACAAUCAAUAGAGAUUAAUCAACAAAAAGAAACACCUGGAGAAACUCAACUUUGUCCAUAUGUAAUCUAAACAACUAAGACAAUUAGAUUAUCAUUUCUCUUGUUUUGGACAUUAGAAUCCUACCAAUGCAAUUGAUAAGGAAUUCCAAUUUUGUUCAGAUCCUGAGAAAAAUAUCCUCCAUGUCAGAGGUAAUCAAAUUGAGUGAAGUACUAAACUGUAGAUCAGUGUGAGUUAAGACAGGUGAAGGCUUCAUAGAAAAGUCGGGCUUUCAUUCCCCAAUUGAUAAAUGGUCAAAGGACAUGAACAGACAAUUUUCAGAUAAAGAAAUUAAAGCCAAUUCUAGUCAUAUGAAAAUAUGCUCUAAAUCACUAUUGAUUAAAGAAAUGCAAAUUAAGACAAUUCUGAGAUAUCACUUCACCCCUUCACACCACUUUGCUAUGAUUAUAGGAAAAGAUAAUGAUAAAUGUUGAAGGGGAUGUGAGAAAACUGGGACAUUAAUGUAUUGUUGAUGGAAAUAUGAAAUAACCCAAUCAUUUUGAAGAGCAAUUUGGAAUUAUGUCCAAAAAGCUAUCAAACUGUAUGUACCCUUUGUUCCGGCAGGGUCUCUACUGAUCCCAAAGAGAUCAUAAAAGAGUGCAAAAACGUUUGUAGUAGCUCUUUUUGUAGUGGUAAGGAACUAGAACUAAGUGGAUGCCUCUCAGGUAGAGAAU
rnacentral:lncRNA from 1 species